UGCAUCGCCGAUUCGAUGCAUCCCGCGGCUGGGACCUUCGAUCCCCGUCAGAUCCUGGCCCUUCUUGUCCAACAACGACAACAAAAGCACGCAGCGGCUGCUCUGGCUGCCCCAUCGCAGAUUCCAACCAGCGCCCCCCUGCUCGCUGUGGACUUGUGAAUCCAUAUGUCAACAUACAGUGCCGGUGCAUGGGCUGCGUCGGCAAGGUCGACAAGGCAAUGCCCUCCGUGAGGACCUUCUUAGGGGUUGAAACGUCAGUGGGAGCGACGUCGGCACUGGAGUCGUGGCCGUGGCGGGCGAGGUGAACCCGGCGGAGCUCUGCCAGUGGCUCAAGAGGAAGACAAGGAAGGAUGCCAAGAUUGUCCACCUUCGUACACCUGCUAAAGAAUCAUAAUAAACAGGGCCUCACUAAAUUCUAAAAUGAUGUCAAAGCAACGUUUUCGAGGUUUUGUGCACAUGCUCAAGCAAGAAGAUUCAACAUCCACUUCUAGCGGGACUUGCUUUUUAUUUUCCCUGUUUGCAAGCAAGAAGCUUUGCCAGCUACUUCCAGUUUGGGGGCAAUGCAAAAUGCAAUGGCCAGCAGGUGUGCUCUUGUAGAAUACAACUGCAAGAGAAGCAUGGCACAUCCCUGACAAACACGGCGCCGUGUUUUACAUGAAUUGGUCCUCCUUAUAGCUUGCUUUUUUUAAGGAGUUGUGAGUUGUACAUUUUUCACACAGAAGGAUGAUGAAGUUGUGUCGGUGUUCGGGUGUUCGUCGGAAACGAUGCGUAUAGAGGAUCUUCUUGCAGACUGGAAUGACAAAGACCUUUGCGCAUGAUCUGCAUGUUAGCAAGUUGCGCAGAAUAAAUGUUUUUGGCAUAUGAAUGUGGCAACCAGUAAGAGAUUGAGGAGAGAGGUCUUGUAGUGCCGGUAACCAGCAAGCGAAUUAGGAGCGAGAGCCAAGAGGGCGCCACCAUUUAUGUGUCGUGACCACCUAGCAGGGAGGAGCUAGAUCCAGAAAAUCUUUUUCCUAGUGGUCGAGAAUUGGCCCGCAAAUCUCCAGAAGGAGUGAUGGAACCACUUGGUGGGGAGGCAAGAUGUUUUCCGUUGAGGGCCACAUGGGAUGGGGACAACCUUUCCUUUCUAGGACGGUGUGGACAGAAUUUUACUUUUUGGGGGUGUGUGCUCGGGGGCACUAGCCAGCCAACGGGUGCUGGCUAGACGCGUCCUUAAAUAAUUUGUAAUGAGGUUGUACUUAAACUCGAUGAGCUUCAAAACGGUCGUGUUGGUUUGUUC